GAUCGAUGACGGUACCUCACGAGAAAGCCCCGGCUAACUACGUGCCAGCAGCCGCGGUAAUACGUAGGGGGCGAGCGUUACCCGGAUUCACUGGGCGUAAAGGGGGCGCAGGCGAUCCAGUAUGUCGGGUGUGAAAUCCCACAGCUCAACUGUGGAAUUGCGCCCGAAACUACUGGGUUUGGGGCUGGUAGAGGGAGACGGAACUGCUGGUGUAGGGGUGAAAUCCGUAGAUAUCAGCAGGAACGCCGGUGGGGAAGCCGGUCUCCUGGGCCAAGCCCGACGCUGAGGCCCGAAAGCUAGGGGAGCAAACCGGAU
rnacentral:rRNA from 1 species